rnacentral:rRNA from 1 species
UACGUAGGGUGCGAGCGUUAAUCGGAAUUACUGGGCGUAAAGCGUGCGCAGGCAGUUUUUUAAGCCAGAUGUGAAAUCCCCGGGCUCAACCUGGGAACUGCAUUUGGAACUGGAAGACUAGAGUAUAGCAGAGGGGGGUAGAAUUCCACGUGUAGCAGUGAAAUGCGUAGAUAUGUGGAGGAAUACCAAUGGCGAAGGCAGCCCCCUGGGUUAAUACUGACGCUCAUGCACGAAAGCGUGGGGAGCAAACAGG